rnacentral:rRNA from 1 species
AGAGUUUGAUCCUGGCUGAGAACGAACGCUGGCGGCGUGCUUAACACAUGCCAGUCGAACGCGAAAGGGACUUCGGUCCCGAGUAGAGUGGCGCACGGGUGAGUAACGCGUAAGUGAUCUACCCCUGUAUCUGGGAUAACUGUGGGAAACUGCAGCUAAUACCGGAUACGUUCAUGUUCUUGCGAGUAUAUGAAGAAAGAUGGCCUCUGAUUCAAGCUAUUGUACAGGGAGGAGCUUGCGUACCAUUAGCUAGUUGGUAGGGUAAUGGCCUACCAAGGCAACGAUGGUUAGCGGGUCUGAGAGGAUGAUCCGCCACACUGGAACUGAAACACGGACCAGACUCCUACGGGAGGCAGCAGUGAGGAAUAUUGGACAAUGGGCGCAAGCCUGAUCCAGCGACGCCGCGUGAGUGAUGAAGGCCUUUGGGUCGUAAAGCUCUGUCAGCAGGGAAGAACGGCCGUGCGGUUAAUACCCGUGCGGAUUGACGGUACCUGCAGAGGAAGCACCGGCUAACUCCGUGCCAGCAGCCGCGGUAAUACGGAGGGUGCGAGCGUUAAUCGGAAUUACUGGGCGUAAAGGGCGCGUAGGCGGCCGAUCAAGUCAGAUGUGAAAGCCCACGGCUUAACCGUGUGAAGUGCAUCUGAAACUGGUCGGCUUGAGUAUCGGAGAGGAAAGUGGAAUUCCCGGUGUAGAGGUGAAAUUCGUAGAUAUCGGGAGGAAUACCGGUGGCGAAGGCGACUUUCUGGACGAAUACUGACGCUGAGGCGCGAAAGCGUGGGGAGCAAACAGGAUUAGAUACCCUGGUAGUCC